CAAAUGUAACGACCUAGCCCACUGGCAACAAUAACUCGUUGGGCCCAACCACCGGCCCAAAAUGCUUAAGCUCAGUUAUUGUAAAUAGAUCUUUCAGUUUUGUUAUUAUAUUUGAAUAAUCGGGAUUUCCUGAAUAAAGGAUUUAUGGUUUUGUAAACUGAAAAUGGUUUUCUACCCCUCGUGGUAGCGUGUUUUAAAAAGGAAAAGAUUUCCAUGUGGGAAACAGUUUUAAAAGGGUUUUCUCGUGGUUUUGUAACUUAGUAUUUCAAAACAGGUUUCCGGGUAUGAAAUAUUUUAAAUGAUAGUCAUGGUUUUAUGAUUAAGACUCUGUAUAUGAACCUGUGAUGAAUGGUGUAUGAACUUAUGAAUGUAUGGAUAUUUGUAUGUUCAGUGGGAGUGGUUGUAU
rnacentral:lncRNA from 1 species